rnacentral:tRNA from 1 species
ACCUGGGUGGCUCAGUUGGUUGAGCGUCUGACUUUGACUCAGGUCGUGAUCUCAGGUU